GCUAAUACGGCGAGCUAUCGAAUAAAAAACAAAUUGCAGGAAAUCACUGCCUUCCGAAAUCCGAGGAGACGAUGGUUUGAUCAGAAACUAAAAACAGGAGCGAGUACUACCUCCUCGACAUGCCAUCCUCCUACAACCUUGUCCUCAAGAAGGUUAUCGACCAGGGCCACCUCUUCAAGUUGACUCUGCGCAGACACGACAGGGGCCUUGUCAAGGUUUAUUUCAAGCACGGUGACUCCAUUGAUCUUAAAAACUAUGAGAGCUGUUUCUUCCAGAUGAAAGACAUUUUUUGUGCCCUUCACACCCUCAUGUUUAUUCCUUCCAGCUGCUAAUACUAUUUGUAAGGACUGAAGUGGUGAUAUCAGAACAAAAACUCUUGCAUUCGUGCGUUUGAGAUACCUGUUGAGUUGCUCGUUUGAGUAGUUCAUCAAGCUGGGGGGUUGCAGAGGCAUGGAAUCCUGGUCCAGAUACAGCACAGUCAACAUUCAAGUAAGCAACAGCCCUCGAAGCUAGUGUUUCUCUGUUCUCUUCUACCCAUUCUGUGGAUCCUAUCUGAAUACAGUAGUUUGGUUAAUAUAUAUAUAUAUAUAUAUAUAUAUAUAGAGAGAGAGAGAGAGAGAGAGAGAGAGAGAGAGAGAGAGAGAGAGAGAGAGAGAGAGAGAGAGAGAGAGAGAAGACCAGUCCAUAUUCCUCAGCGUCCCAAUUGCACAACACAAUUGUUCUUCGAGGUUUCCAUCCUUUUUUUUGCAUUUUCCCCAGUCUUUCUGCAAUCUACGGUAAGUAUCAAAAUCAGGUGGUGCUGUUUUGGUAUUUUUUUGCAUCGGGUGGAUACUUGACAAGGCCAUCUAAUGGAAUCAAGUUUACCUCUAACAACGCUGCGGUGCCACUGUUGGGAUCAACGGCUCCAAAUGUCCACGCAUCUCGAUGAUUACCCAGAAUGACAAAUCUACAAAUAAUUGUAAAAUUUGUGAGUUAAACAUUACGAGUUUGGUAGUUGUGUGACUUUUUUGUUAUGCUAUGAUGAGUUACUAAAGCAUGGCAUGAACUUUAUGCGCGCUUUCCUUUGUUGGAUGCAUAUUGAACUGGAAAUUUAGCCAUUCCUUCCUUUUGUUUGUGAAAGAAAUUGUACAUACCUAUCUGGCU